rnacentral:lncRNA from 1 species
AGACCCCCGUCGGCCCCUGCCCGCCCACAGUCCAUCCUCUACCCCUCAAGGCUGCCCAGGACUCCUGUAGCCGCCCCCCACCAAGGCUCCAGGCCCGCCAAGAGCCCCUCGUCGGCCCUCUGGGCCCUCCAGGCCCACCCCGAGACCACCCUAGUCCUCGCCUGUCCCUCAGGUCAGCAUGGAGCGCCUCGUCGGCCCCCGACCCCCAAGUCCGCCCGAAGACCACCGUCGACCCGCCGGCUGCCCCCCACAGGCCCACCUGAAUCCCCGCACAAGUCCGCCCGGAGACCCAGAGCGCCGUCACCACUGCCCCGGACACCCUGGACCCCAGGCCCGCAGGAGCCCGCCGCUCUGCUCCGCCCGGCGCGCAAGGCCUGCAGGCCGCGAGACCGCCCCACGCCCGUCCCGAUCCCUGCGCGGCCGCGGCUCUCACCGGCUCCGGCUCCGACUCCGGCUCUGGCCCGCGGCUCAGCGGCGGCGCGCGGGCGAGGCCAUGCAGCCCCGGCCCGUCACCGGCCCGCGGCCCGAGCGGGAAGGCGGCGCGGGCUCCGAGCGCCGGCGAGGCGGGCGCAGACGAGCCCGCCCUCGGGCGGCGCCGCGGCAGUCUGGCUCUCACUGAGGGGGCGUCGGGCCGCGCGCUCGGCGGCGCCUCCCCGCUUGGGGCCCUCGCUCCAUCGCGCUCCGGCUCGGGCGGCCUCUGGCUCCGGGACCCGGCGGCGGCUGCGGCGGCGCCGGCAGCAUGAGACGUUACCUCCCAUUGGCCCGCCGUAUCCGCCACCACCAUUGGUCCGCCGAGUUCGGGCACAGGGCUGCUUACGUCACGGCGUCGGAGAGGAAGUGCGCAUGGGACCAAGGGAGACGGCGAGAUUGACAGUUUGUAGGACGGGCUGGGGCGGGACCAGAAGGACAUCCGGGGUUGGAUUGGACAAGGUCGUGCGUCCAGGCGCAAGAGUCUCCGAGGUAGCGAAAAGCUGGAUUGGCUACGUGUUUCGCACAAGGGGCGGGUCUUUUGGCCUCGAACAUGACGAUUGGCCUUUCCAAGUGCCGGAAGCGGCGAAGGGAACGGUCGGGAGCGGAUCUGGGCGGAAGGCGGUAGAAGGCGCGGUGUCGCGGAACGCACACUGGGAACGGAGAUCCUUCCAGCCGCGCGGCGGGGCCGAAGAGAAAAACACUGACUUCAACCAAAUACGGAAUUAAAAUUAGGAAAUAUGAAUAAGGAGGCAGUUUGCCUAGAAGUAAUCUGAAAACAUACUAAAGCAAAAACAAAGUGAAGUUCCACAGAAGCAGAAGCUAUGGAUAAAAAUAUACAGUAGCGAAAAGAAGUGCAGAGAAAAGGAAAGAAUGAAACCUUUGAACAUAUUAAUUCACAAAUGUUUACUGAGUGUCUUUUACCAGCCAGGCACUAAAUCAGGCACUGGAAACGAACUGGAACAGCAACUCUAUCUACCAGCAUGUGGUUUCUCACCAUGGAGGGAAGACACACCUUCGUUGAAUACAAGUACCUAAUUACAGGCUGUGAUAAGUGCUUUGAAAGAAAAGUAUAGGGAGUUAUGAAGGAAUACUGAGUGAAAAUCAGGUCUAGUCUGAGCAGUGGCUUGACACUUAAGGUGCUGCCAGAAGGCUGAAGAGGAAGUAGGAGUAAGACGUGGUGGAGAAUAUCCAGUAAGGUGGCUUCUAGCCACAUGUGACAAGCACUAGAAAUGUGGCAAGUCCAGGUUGACAUGUGCUGUGAAUAUAAAAUAUCGGGUUUCGAAGGUAUGGUGUGAAGAAAAGAAUGUAAAAUGUAAAAAAGUAAAUCUUUGUAUUUUUUACAUGUGUGUGUGCUUAGUCACUCCCCCUUUGCAACCCUAUGGACUGUAGCCCACCAGGCUCCUCAAUCCAUGGGAUUCUGCAGGCAAGAAUACUGCGAUGAGUUGCCAUGCCAUGCGCUGCUCCAAAGGAUCUUCCCAACCUAGGGAUAGAACCCACAUCUCCUGCAUUACAGGCAGAUUCUUUGAACAACCAGGGAAGUCCUACUACAUGUGAAAAUGAUAGUGUUUGGGACAAUUGCAUUAAAAUAUAGUGUUAAAAUUAAUGAAAUCUUCUUUUUUCUUUUUAAUUGUAGCCACUUAGGAAUUUUAAAUGACAUCUCCUGGCUGCAUUCCGCUUCUGUUGGGCCGCCCUGGGCAAAGGGGCAGCCUAACCCAUCUCCUUUAGAUAGAGAGAGGCCUGGUGGCUCAAGGGACAGCACUCAUUUAUUCAAAGCACACUGAGGGCUUUUGAGUGCCUACUAUGUGCCUGGAACAAUUCUAAAAGUGAAAAAAUGAAUGUUAGUCCCUCAGUUGUGUCCAACUCUUUGUGACCCCAUGGACUAUAUAGCCCACCAGGGUCCUCUGUCCAUGGGAUUCUCCAGGCAAGAAUAAUGGAGUGGGUUGCCUUGCCCUUCUCCAAGAGAUCUUCCCAACACAGGGAUUAAACCUGUGUUUGCCUUCAUUGCAGAUAGGUUCUUUACCUUAUGAGCCACGAGGGAAGACCAGCACAAUUCUAAGGCCUGUAUUAAAUAUGGGGUAGUGAGGGGCUCAGAUUAGAUCACCUUUGAGCUGAAUCACAAAGGAAGCAAGGCAUGUGGAUUGGGGAAGAGCACCCCAGGACUCACAGGAAGGAGCCUCAGCAACCACAGAGCAAAGAUGGAGCAAAUGAGAUGAGGCAAGUGGCUGGUAAGAGUCUCGAUUCAGAGUUGAAAUUUCACUCUGAAUGAACACUAAACCACAGAGAGUCUCAGGAAGGUGAGAGGCCCCACUGUUGAAAGGGUCACUCUGGAGAUGAUGGAAGCAUGGAGGAGGUGGCAGUGAUGUCCAGACUGGUGAGACAGUGGCAUCUGGGGUGUGUUUUGAAGAUAGAGUAGGCAUGAUUUUGUGAGCUGUGAGAGAAAGAGGCAGGUCUGGGAUGCAGUCAACAUUGGCUGGAAAGAAGGGGAGGAAUAGGUCUGGGUCACAAAACUGGGAAUUUAAUUUUAUACGGUUAAGUCUGGGAUGCUUGGGCCUCCUCAUGGAAUACUAGGGGGACAGCAGCAGACCCCUGGAGGCCUCCAGGCACAGGGCUGGAUCUCAGCCUGCAAGUAGCACCUGCAGUGAAGGGUCAGAGGCAGCAACUGCCAAAACAGUGCGAACUUGACAGAGGGCUAGCAGGAAAGCUGUCGCAAUAGUUCCAGAGAAAAGACAUGCGAGGAGUGAUGGGGACCUAGAGAAGGUGGACAGUGGCAGGGUGGUGGGACAGGGGUCAGGAGCCAACCGGAAGGGGCCUGCCAGAGCCAGCAUUGCCACAUCUUCUAGUUUUUUAUUGGAAAAUAAAUUUUGAUUGGACGUUUCAAGAAGAGGGCAUUUCAAUAAGAGUUCAACAAUUUGUCAAACAUUGUGCAGCCAAGCAAACAGAUCUACAAAUUCCUGACCUUGAUCCCUAAAGGGCAGUUCUCCAGCCCUUGCCUGUGAAGUCUGCUUUCCUUCAGCAGUUGCCUGGGCUCACCUCAAGGUUCUGGCCCAGAAGCUCUGGGAGAAGCCCAGAGCAUCCCCAAGCCCAGUCAGGAAGGCCUGGCCCCAGCAGCAUCUGUGGGUGGCCAUCUGGCAUACUGCUGUCU